rfam:Caenorhabditis japonica strain DF5081 Contig15842.1, whole genome shotgun sequence.
CAACCUGAACUCAGUCGUGAUUACCCGCUGAACUUAAGCAUAUCAUUUAGCGGAGGAAAAGAAACUAAAAAGGAUUCCCCUAGUAACGGCGAGUGAAACGGGAAGAGCCCAGCGCCGAAUCGAUCAGUCUUUGGCUGCUUCGAAAUGUGGCGUAUAGGUGUAGUCUUCCAGCAGUGUCGUAUGUCCGAAGUCCUUGCGAUUGAGGCCAUAAACCAGAGAGGGUGCGAGCCCCGUUCUGGAUAGCGGCGCUGUUGGUUCGACUGCUCCUUGGAGUCGGGUUGCUUGAAAGUGCAGCCUAAAGUGGGUGAUAAACUUCAUCUAAGGCUAAAUAUUGACUCGAUUGCGAUAGCGAACAAGUACCGUGAGGGAAAGUUGCAAAGGACUUUGAAGAGAGAGUUCAAGAGAACGUGAAAUCGCUGGAGUGGAACCGGAGACAGUUGAUGUUGCUUGGAGACAAUCUUGGUGGCUGAUCGCUUAGCUGUGAUCGCCGCCGGGAGUCGUUUCCUAUGCUACGCCGACGGCGUUGGCCGCUCGUUCUGGCCCGACAGUGUUGCCCAUCUCGCAAGAGACGGUGUCUUGUUGUCGGUCGUUGGUUCGUGGUGGCUAGCGUUUAGUUACGCUAGUGUGUGUGACGUC